UACGAAGGGGGCUAGCGUUGUUCGGAAUUACUGGGCGUAAAGCGCACGUAGGCGGGUCGUUAAGUCAGGGGUGAAAUCCUGGAGCUCAACUCCAGAACUGCCUUUGAUACUGGCGAGCUUGAGUUCGGGAGAGGUGAGUGGAACUGCGAGUGUAGAGGUGAAAUUCGUAGAUAUUCGCAAGAACACCAGUGGCGAAGGCGGCUCACUGGCCCGAUACUGACGCUGAGGUGCGAAAGCGUGGGGAGCAAACAGGAU
rnacentral:rRNA from 1 species